rnacentral:rRNA from 1 species
AGUGAACGCUGGCGGUAGGCCUAACACAUGCAAGUCGAACGGCAGCACAGUAAGAGCUUGCUCUUACGGGUGGCGAGUGGCGGAAGGGUGAGGAAUACAUCGGGAUCUACUUUUUCGUGUGUGAUAACGUAGGGGAACUUACGCUAAUACAGCAUACGACCUACGGGUGAGAGCAGGGGAACUUCGGACCUUGCGCGAUUGAAUGAGCCGAUGUCGGAUUAGCUAGUUGGCGGGGUAAAGGCCAACCCAGGCGACGAUCCGUAGCUGGUGUGGGUGGCGGGUCGGCCACAUGGGAGCGUGGACACGGACCAGACUCCUACGGGAGGCAGCAGUGUGGAAUGUUGGGCAAUGGGCGGAAGCCUGACCCAGCCAGACCGCGUGGGUGAAGAAGGCCUUCGGGUUGUAAAGCCCUUUUGUGGGGAAAGAAAAGCAGCAGGUUAAUACCCCGCUGUUCUGACGGUACCCAAAGAAUAAGCACCGGCUAACUUCGUG